rnacentral:rRNA from 1 species
GAGUUUGAUCGUGGCUCAGAUUGAACGCUGGCGGCAGGCUUAACACAUGCAAGUCGAGCGGAGAUGAGGUGCUUGCACCUUAUCUCAGCGGCGGACGGGUGAGUAAUGCUUAGGAAUCUGCCUAUUAGUGGGGGACAACAUUCCGAAAGGAAUGCUAAUACCGCAUACGUCCUACGGGAGAAAGCAGGGGAUCUUCGGACCUUGCGCUAAUAGAUGAGCCUAAGUCGGAUUAGCUAGUUGGUGGGGUAAAGGCCUACCAAGGCGACGAUCUGUAGCGGGUCUGAGAGGAUGAUCCGCCACACUGGGACUGAGACACGGCCCAGACUCCUACGGGAGGCAGCAGUGGGGAAUAUUGGACAAUGGGGGGAACCCUGAUCCAGCCAUGCCGCGUGUGUGAAGAAGGCCUUAUGGUUGUAAAGCACUUUAAGCGAGGAGGAGGCUACUGAGACUAAUACUCUUGGAUAGUGGACGUUACUCGCAGAAUAAGCACCGGCUAACUCUGU